CCUACGGGAGGCAGCAGUGGGGGAUAUUGCACAAUGGGGGAAACCCUGAUGCAGCGACGCCGCGUGGGUGAAGAAGCGCCUCGGCGCGUAAAGCCCUGUCAGCAGGGAAGAAAAUGACGGUACCUGAAGAAGAAGCCCCGGCUAACUACGUGCCAGCAGCCGGGGUAAUACGUAGGGGGCAAGCGUUAUCCGGAUUUACUGGGUGUAAAGGGGGCGCAGAAGGCGAGGCAAGCCAGGAGUGAAAGCCCGGGGCCCAACCCCGGGACUGCUCUUGGAACUGCGUGGCUAGAGUGCAGGAGGGGCAGGCGGAAUUCCUGGUGUAGCGGUGAAAUGCGUAGAUAUCAGGAGGAACACCGGUGGCGAAGGCGGCCUGCUGGACUGCAACUGACGUUGAGGCCCGAAAGCGUGGGGAGCAAACAGGAUUAGAUACCCGAGUAGUC
rnacentral:rRNA from 1 species